rnacentral:rRNA from 1 species
CAGUCGCCACGGUAAUACGAAGGGGGCUAGCGUUGUUCGGAAUUACUGGGCGUAAAGCGCACGUAGGCGGAUAUUUAAGUCAGGGGUGAAAUCCCAAAGCUCAACUCUGGAACUGCCUUUGAUACUGGGUAUCUUGAGUAUGGAAGAGGUGAGUGGAAUUCCGAGUGUAGAGGUGAAAUUCGUAGAUAUUCGGAGGAACACCAGUGGCGAAGGCGGCUCACUGGUCCAUUACUGACGCUGAGGUGCGAAAGCGUGGGGAGCAAACAGGAUUAGAUACCCCAGUAGUCCCUGUCUCUUAUAC